rfam:Ovis aries breed Texel chromosome 10, whole genome shotgun sequence.
UCUCUGGUGGCUCAGACGGUAAAGCGUCUGCCUGCAGUGCAGGAGACCUGGGUUCGAUCCCUAAGUCAGGAUG